GAUGAAGAACGCAGCGAAAUGCGAUACGUAAUGUGAAUUGCAGAAUUCAGUGAAUCAUCGAAUCUUUGAACGCACAUUGCGCCCGCCAGUAUUCUGGCGGGCAUGCCUGUUCGAGCGUCAUUACAACCCUCAGGCCCCCGGGCCUGGCGUUGGGGAUCGGCGGAGCCCCCCGUGGGCACACGCCGUCCCCCAAAUACAGUGGCGGUCCCGCCGCAGCUUCCAUCGCGUAGUAGCUAACACCUCGCGACUGGAGAGCGGCGCGGCCACGCCGUAAAACACCCAACUCUUCUGAAGUUGACCUCGAAUCAGGUAGGAAUACCCGCUGAACUUAAGCAUAUCAAUAAGCGGAGGA
rnacentral:misc_RNA from 1 species